rnacentral:rRNA from 1 species
GACGAACGCUGGCGGCGUGCUUAACACAUGCAAGUCGAGCGAUGAAGCUCCUUCGGGAGUGGAUUAGCGGCGGACGGGUGAGUAACACGUGGGUAACCUGCCUCAAAGAGGGGGAUAGCCUUCCGAAAGGAAGAUUAAUACCGCAUAAUAUCAGGAAGCUGCAUGGCAUUCUGAUCAAAGGAGCAAUCCGGUUUGAGAUGGACCCGCGGCGCAUUAGCUAGUUGGUGAGGUAACGGCCCACCAAGGCGACGAUGCGUAGCCGACCUGAGAGGGUGAUCGGCCACAUUGGAACUGAGACACGGUCCAGACUCCUACGGGAGGCAGCAGUGGGGAAUAUUGCACAAUGGGGGAAACCCUGAUGCAGCAACGCCGCGUGAGUGAUGAAGGCCUUCGGGUCGUAAAGCUCUUUGAUCAGGGACGAUAAUGACGGUACCUGAAAAACAAGCCACGGCUAACUACGUGCCAGCCGCCGCCGUAAGAC